rnacentral:rRNA from 1 species
CAGAACGAACGCUGGCGGCGCGUUUAAGCAUGCAAGUCGAGCGGCAAGGGCCUUCGGGCCCCUAGAGCGGCGGACGGGUGAGUAACACGUGGACAAUCUGCCCCCCGGCCCGGGAUAGCCCAGGGAAACCUGGAUUAAUACCGGAUGAGACGGGACCUGCGAUGGCGGGAUCCGGGAAAGGCGCUACGGCGCCGCCGGGGGAUGAGUCUGCGUCCCAUUAGCUAGACGGCGGGGUAACGGCCCACCGUGGCGACGAUGGGUAGCCGGCCUGAGAGGGUGGACGGCCACAUUGGAACUGAGACACGGUCCAGACUCCUACGGGAGGCAGCAGCUAAGAAUCUUCCGCAAUGGGCGAAAGCCUGACGGAGCCGACGCCGCGUGAACGAAGAAGGCCGUGAGGUUGUAAAGUUCUUUUCGGGAGGGGAACAACCGUGGCAGGGAAUGGCCGCGGGAUGACGUGAAUCCCGGAAUAAGCCCCGGCUAACUACGUGCCAGCCGCCGC